UGUAGGAUAGGUGGGAGGCUUUGAAGUGUGGACGCCAGUCUGCAUGGAGCCGACCUUGAAAUACCACCCUUUAAUGUUUGAUGUUCUAACGUUGACCCGUGAUCCGGGUUGCGGACAGUGUCUGGUGGGUAGUUUGACUGGGGCGGUCUCCUCCUAAAGAGUAACGGAGGAGCACGAAGGUUGGCUAAUCCUGGUCGGACAUCAGGAGGUUAGUGCAAUGGCAUAAGCCAGCUUGACUGCGAGCGUGACGGCGCGAGCAGGUGCGAAAGCAGGUCAUAGUGAUCCGGUGGUUCUGAAUGGAAGGGCCAUCGCUCAACGGAUAAAAGGUACUCCGGGGAUAACAGGCUGAUACCGCCCAAGAGUUCAUAUCGACGGCGGUGUUUGGCACCUCGAUGUCGGCUCAUCACAUCCUGGGGCUGAAGUAGGUCCCAAGGGUAUGGCUGUUCGCCAUUUAAAGUGGUACGCGAGCUGGGUUUAGAACGUCGUGAGACAGUUCGGUCCCUAUCUGCCGUGGGCGCUGGAGAACUGAGGGGGGCUGCUCCUAGUACGAGAGGACCGGAGUGGACGCAUCACUGGUGUUCGGGUUGUCAUGCCAAUGGCACUGCCCGGUAGCUAAAUGCGGAAGAGAUAAGUGCUGAAAGCAUCUAAGCACGAAACUUGCCCCGAGAUGAGUUCUCCCUGACUCCUUGAGAGUCCUGAAGGAACGUUGAAGACGACGACGUUGAUAGGCCGGGUGUGUAAGCGCAGCGAUGCGUUGAGCUAACCGGUACUAAUGAACCGUGAG
rnacentral:rRNA from 1 species